rnacentral:rRNA from 1 species
AGGACGAACGCUGGCGGCGUGCCUAACACAUGCAAGUCGAGUGCGCGCCUGUAGCAAUACAGGUGGCGCACGGCGCACGGGUGCGUAACACGUGGGUAAUCUGCCCUUCGAUGGGGAAUAACCUCGCGAAAGCGAGGCUAAUUCCGCAUAACAUUCCGAUGGUUCCGAUCAAUGGACUCAAAGCCGUAAGGCGUCGGAGGAGGAGCCCGCGCACGAUUAGCUAGUUGGUGAGGUAACGGCUCACCAAGGCUUUGAUCGUUA